UACGGAGGGAGCUAGCGUUGUUCGGAAUUACUGGGCGUAAAGCGCACGUAGGCGGCUUUGUAAGUUAGAGGUGAAAGCCCGGGGCUCAACUCCGGAACUGCCUUUAAGACUGCAUCGCUUGAAUCCGGGAGAGGUGAGUGGAAUUCCGAGUGUAGAGGUGAAAUUCGUAGAUAUUCGCAAGAACACCAGUGGCGAAGGCGGCUCACUGGCCCGAUACUGACGCUGAGGCACGAAAGCGUGGGAGCAAACAG
rnacentral:rRNA from 1 species